UCCGGUUUGGCACCGGCAGUCCUCCCAGAGUCCUCGACAUUACUCGCUGGCAACAUGGGACAGGGGUUGCGCUCGUUGCGCCACUUAAGGCAACACCUCACGGCACAAGCUGACGACAGCCAUGCAGCACCUGUGCGGGCUCCCGAAGGAGCGCCGUGUUUCCACGGUUUCACCCCGCAUGUCAAGGCCAGGUAAGGUUCUUCGCGUUGCAUCGAAUUAAGCCACAUACUCCACCGCUUGUGCAGGCCCCCGUCAAUUUCUUUGAGUUUUAAUCUUGCGACCGUACUUCCCAGGCGGCGUAUUUAACGCGUUGGCUACGCCACAAAAGGGGUCGAUUCCUUUUACAGCAAAUACGCACCGUUUACGGCUAGGACUAC
rnacentral:misc_RNA from 1 species